CUGUAAUUUAGCAGCGUCAUUGCGGCCAUAUUUUCAAAUGGAACAAUUCAUUCUUCUAAAAAAUCCAUGUUUUAUAUUAAAACGAUGUAUACGAGCGAGUAUCUGGAGAAAUCGAAUUGCCACUAGGAAAGAAACGACGACGGCGAAUUCGGCUGAUUUGCACUGUAUGAACGAGUAUCUGGAGAAAUCAAGUUGUUGAGAAAAGAGUUGCUAGGAAAGAAACAACGAGGACCGACGGCAGAAUUUGUCGAAUUUGCUCUUCGCUCUGACCGUUUGUUUUUUUCCAAUUGUGUCAUCGUCAACUUAGUCUCAUCAUGGUGCUAUCACGGUGCUAUCACGGUGCUAUCACGGCAACACAAUCAAGCAUCCGAAUUGAUCUGCAUUUUCUCAUCGAGACUAUAUUCCGUGCAGCAGUCGAGCUGCCGAUAGAAAGAUGAUACGGCGAAUCCGAAAAAGAUGAAACACAACUGGUCUCUCGUGGAAUUGAGUUUCCCGUAUUUUUGGACGAAAUUCGCCAUGGAAUCAGUGGGGAAAUCACCGCGCUGUAUGUGUACACAAAGUAGCGAAAUUGAUAGCGCUGUGGUCAGCGACGACGAAACUUGACGUCAAUCUACGAGGAAACGGUGAAUCUCGCCUUUUUUUCGUCAAUAUGAGUUUUAUAUAGCUCUGAGAUUUUCGUCGUUUUAUGGCACCAUUUGUGAAGGCAUUUUAAUGGAACAGAUAUUUCACAAUUUUUGAAGCAAACCGACGAAAAACUGUUACUCUGCUUUUGCGAGAGAUUGUUUGGAGUAUUAACAGCAGUAUCAGGAUGAACUUUGUGCGCGUAAUCGGUACUACGAACUAUAUAGUUCCGUCGUAAUAUACUGACAAAAUGCGUGUCGGGAGUGCCGUUUAAAGUGUCGCGCGAUUUUCGCAUUCGGAUACGCGUGUGAGUGUCUCGAAGGACCACUGAGGGGAGGAGGAGGAGGAGGCCUAGAAGGCAUCGUGUGACAGCAGAGCAACGAUGCGACCCGAGCUGCAACCAACCGAGUAGUCUCCUCACCGCCGUCUCGCAAGAUUCCCUCUCGCCUGCUAUGCAGCCUAUUGCGGAUACUUAGGAGACGCAGACGUUACGGAUCUGGAACGCGCCCGUAUUCAUCGCACGCAGCAUACGAAGCAUAUCAUCGUUUGCAGAAAUUGCCUGACCGAUCGGAACUUGCACUUUGGAUGUCCUUCGGGGUCGAAAUGAUGAUUACGGCCGAAGGAUCGCUUCGCUGCGGUAGAGCGUCAAUUAGGCAAAUGUGAGAGAAUUUCACCGCAAUCAGACCUGUUGGAAGUGUAUCGAAGUGCUGAUUUACUUAAUUGCAUCUUAGCUACUUUCGAUAAAGUAUGAUCGAUAUCUUCGCACAAUUUCAUGAACAGAUAUACAAUUAUAAGACAAAUUAUAAAAUAUUAAUGUAUAUAAAAUUUUUAGUCGUACUUAUACGUAUUUAUGUUUAGACGCUAAGAAUAUAUCUAUCUACAUACCUGACUUUUCACCACACCACGUGUCUUGUAAUUCUAUUUCGAUUAUGUUAACGAGAUAAGUACGUAUAGAUACCGUCGCACAAGAUAGCGCGAGUACAUCACUUGAUGCGCGCAGCCAAAAAGAAAACUUAAGUGUUGCGAAAGGAGCCGCAGUGCUUUCACACCGAGGUUCACUCACACUGAUCAAUGGUCGUAACACUAUCGAGUAGCAUUGGAAGGUUUGCAGGCGACGCGGCGCUUUGUGAAAACGUUCAUAUUUCUCGUUUGGGGAUAUCGUAGUUUCAUUGAACUCGGCGCGGUGAUAAGUCCGGCGAAGAAACGAGGAUAUCGAGCGUAGGCGGAGAUAAGUAUACGAAGGGAGAUCGCCACCCUGCGAGCUCGGUCAGGUCCGAGCAACGCCGUGGCGAUGACAGCGCGAUAUGUCAAACCAUUGUCCCUCUUCGUUCCCUCGUUAUGUCCCUCUUGUCCCCAUCGUUUUUCUUCACGCCACACAAGAUCUAACUAUGCACGCUGUGCGAGACAAUACGAUCGCGUUACAAUUUCGAAAAAUGUGCUAUAUCGCUCGCAAUAAUGGCGUGAAGUAUGUCACCGAUAGAAAAAUUAAUCGAGGAAUUUGUCAGAAAAUUUUUGUUAUUACAUUGUGUGCAUACUUGUCUACAUAUUUUAGACACACACACACACAAUAAACGUUUUAACCAACUCAAUUUUUUCCGAAAGAGUUAUUUUAUCUAUCCAU